rnacentral:rRNA from 1 species
AUUGAACGCUGGCGGCAGGCCUAACACAUGCAAGUCGAGCGGAUGACGGGAGCUUGCUCCUUGAUUCAGCGGCGGACGGGUGAGUAAUGCCUAGGAAUCUGCCUGGUAGUGGGGGACAACGUUUCGAAAGGAACGCUAAUACCGCAUACGUCCUACGGGAGAAAGCGGGGGACCUUCGGGCCUUGCGCUAUCAGAUGAGCCUAGGUCGGAUUAGCUAGUUGGUGGGGUAAUGGCUCAACAAGGCGACGAUCGGUAACUGGUCUGAGAGGAUGAUCAGUAACACUGGAACUGGGACACGGUCCAGACUCCUACGGGAGGCAGCAGUGGGGAAUAUUGGACAAUGGGCGAAAGCCUGAUCCAGCCAUGCCGCGUGUGUGAAGAAGGUCUUCGGAUUGUAAAGCACUUUAAGUUGGGAGGAAGGGCAGUAAGUUAAUACCUUGCUGUUUUGACGUUACCGACAGAAUAAGCACCGGCUAACUCUGUGCCAGCAGCCGCCGUAA